rnacentral:rRNA from 1 species
UACGGAGGGUGCGAGCGUUGUCCGGAAUCAUUGGGCGUAAAGAGCGCGCAGGCGGCUUGGCAAGUCGGGUGUGAAAUCCCGGGGCUCAACCCCGUGACUGCAUCCGAUACUGUCAGGCUAGAGGUAGGUAGGGGAGAUCGGAAUUCCUGGUGUAGCGGUGAAAUGCGCAGAUAUCGUUUGGAACGCCAAUGGUGAAAACAGGUUGCUGGGAGUGUGCUGACGCUGAGACACGAAAGCCAGGGGAGCAAACGGG